rnacentral:rRNA from 1 species
GACGAACGCUGGCGGCGUGCUUAACACAUGCAAGUCGAACGGUGAAGCGCCUUCCUUUUUGGUUGGUGUGGAUGAGUGGCGAACGGGUGAGUAACACGUGAGUAACCUGCCCCCUUCUUCUGGAUAACCGCAUGAAAGUGUGUCUAAUACGGGAUAUUCUGGUUCUUUCUCAUGAUUGGUCUGUGUAAGAUAUUGUUUCUGUGGGGGAUGGGCUGGCGGCCUAUCAGGUUGUUGGGGGUGUGAUGGCCUACCAAGGCGGUGACGGGUAGCCGGCCUGAGAGGGUGGACGGCCAGACUGGGACUGAGACACCGCGAGGACUCCGAAGGGAGGCAGACGUGGGGAAUAGUGAACAAUGGGAGAAAGGCUGAAGCAGGGACGCGGCGGGAGGGAUGGAGGCCUUCGGGUUGUGAACCUCUUUCGCGAGUGAAGCAGGCCUGCCUAGUACGUGGGUGGGUUGACGGUAGCGGGAGAAGAAGCACCGGCUAACUACGUG